UCAUAUUUAAUGGGAUGCCA
rnacentral:siRNA from 1 species